UUCAGAACUGCUGGAUCAAGGGUGGAAGUUUUACAGUUUUCUUUGGACAGGUUUCAGGGGCUGUGAACAUUCUUGGAGAGAGGGCCUGAGCGUGCAAAUCCGUUAGGUUAGACCCCAAGGCAGCCCCUUGUUUAGCCCGUCACCGGGAAGGAUGUAGUGCCAAGCGGGGGCAGGUACUUAGCCGACUGGGGUGACAGGAUUGCUGUGUCUCUGGGGAAGCUCUCAAGGAACAGCAGCUAAAGAAGAAACCCAGCUUCAUGGAGACCCAUUGACACUUCUGAGACACAACGGAAUGCCUACCUCAUCCUAACUGGAAUCAGUAACUCAGAGCUGCCCUGGUCGUCAUGUGUUUGGGUGGCCUUGUGAGGACGUCCUUCCAUUCUCAGUUCCAGGCUGACGGUGCGGCUGCAGGAGCGCAGCCAGAGUGCAGUUCAAGCCCGGAUCCGAGGGGCGCCCUGCUGUGGGCUUGCCUCUGACCCCAGCGACUGCAUCAUCGCUUCAGCGCCCCUACCCACGCCAGCCCUGAGUUAACCGUGCAUCUCCCCUGGCUGGCUCGCGGCACUGCCACGUUCACAGGUGCUCUCUGGUGGCACAGAAAGACGAUGCCCCCCUCCCUUUGGGUCAGUUUCUCUCCCUGGAGUCAGAGCUAAGCUGGAAGUAUUAGCUGGGCCUUCAGAGACAUGAAAUCCUCUACCAGCUCUGGUCCCUGAGGAGGUAGGAACGGGAGGCUGGAGGUGCAGGCCCUGCGGGAACGGGGCGAGCCUCUUCCUAGAAAAGACGCUUCCCGGCCCUUGGCGCAGGGCUUUGCUCUUUUUUCAACCUCCUUGAAAAUGGCCCGUAGGGGCUU